CCCAGCAUCUUAGGGGAGUAGCCUGCUUUUACUGCUGUGACCAAAUCCAGUGGAAGAGCGGUAACGUCAACAUACUUGAGCCCUCAAUGGCUUAUGGCGUUAUCAAACAAUCCGUCUCAUUGGCGCUAUUGUUU
rnacentral:sRNA from 2 species